CGCCUGGUGGAUGGCUCGGCUCAAGCGCUGAUGAAGGACGUGCCAAGCUGCGAUAAGCCAUGGGGAGCCGCACGGAGGCGAAGAACCAUGGAUUUCCGAAUAGGAAUCCUCUCGCAAUUGCUUCGCGCAAUGGGGAACGCUCCGAAUUGAAACAUCUCAGUAGGAGCAGGAAGAGAAAACGAAUGUGACGUCGUUAGUAACGGUGAGUAAACGCGACACAGUCCAAACCGAAGGCUUCGGCCAAUGUGGUGUUCGGACUGACUUUCAGCAAUUGACGCUCGACGAGAAGUCUCUUGGAACAGAGCUCGAUACAGGGUGAUAGACCCGUAUCGUCGUGUGGUAAAUUGUGUGUCAGUACCAGAGUACCGGGGGUUGGAAAUCCCUCGGGAUUACGGCAGGCAUCGACUGCCAAGACUAAGUACAACUUGAGACCGAUAGCGAACAAGUAGUGUGAACGAACGCUGAAAAGCACCCCGAGAAGGGAGGUGCAAUAGGGCCUGAAAUCAGGUGGCGAUUGAGCGACGGGGCAUACAAGGCCUCUCAGGAAACGACCCGGGUGCGAACCCGCAGUAGGAACCGAGAGGAGCCGAUGUUCCGUCGUGCGUUUUGAAAAACGAACCAGGGAGUGUAUCUGUUUGACGAGUCUAACCGGAGAAUCCGGGCAGGCGUAGGGAAACCGACAAGGCCGCAGCAUUGCCAGGGCCGCCGUGUUCAAGCGCGGGGAGUCAAACGGAUACGACCCGAAACCAGAUGAUCUACGCGCGGGCAGGACGAAGCGUGGCGAAAGCUACGUGGAGGUCCGUUAGGGUUGGUGUCCUACAAUACCCUCCCGUGACCUGUGUGUAGGGGUGAAAGGCCCAUCGAAUCUGGAAACAGCUGGUUCCAACCGAAAAAUGUCGAAGCAUUACCUCUGUUGAGGUAGUUCGUGGGGUAGAGCGACCGAUUGGAAGCGCGGACUCCGAGAGGAGUCUGCCUUCCUGUCGAACUCCGAACUCACGGACGCCGUUGACGCAGGGAGUUCGCCGUGCGGGGUAAGCCUGUACGGCGUGAGGGAGACAACCCAGAGUCGGGUUAAGGUCCCCAAGUGUGGAUUAAGUGCGAUUGAAGAUGGUCCCGAGCCCUAGACAGCCGGGAGGUGAGCUUAGAAGCAGCUACCCUCUAAGAAAAGCGUAACAGCUUACCGGCCGAGGUUUGGGGCGUCUAAAAUGAUCGGGGCUCAAAUCCACCACCGAGACCUGACCGCAUCCGUUAUAGGAUGCUCGUGUAGGUUGGCACUCCGAUUGGGCGGAAGCUCGGACUAGAGUUCGAGUGGACCGAUCGGUGAAGAAAAUCCUGGUCAUAGUAGCAGCGAUAGUCGGGUGAGAAUCUCGACGGCCAAAUGAGCAAGGGUUCCUCAGCAAUGUUUCUCAGCUGAGGGUUAGCCGGUCCUAAGUCACUUCGUAAUUCGAGAGUGACAAAAGGGAAGUUGGUUAAUAUUCCAACGCCUCUAUACAAUAGAAGUCGACGCCUUGGGGUCAACCGAGCCGCGCUUUCGCGCGGUCGAACUGUCCAACUCCGUGGAAGCCGUAAUGGCACGAAGCGGAAGAACGGCAGGACAGCGUAAGUCGGUCCAACCUAGGGCCCGUGAAAAGACGAGUAUAGAGUCCGUACCAAGAUCCGACACAGGUGCUCAUGCCGGCGAAAGGCAAGGCCUGUCGGGAACAACCGACGUUAGGGAAUUCGGCAAGUUAGUCCCGUAAGUUCGCGAUAAGGGAUGCCUGCUUAGGAAAUAAGCAGGCCACAGUGACUCGGACGCUCCGACUGUCUAGUAACAACAUAGGUGACCGCAAAUCCGAAAGGACUCGUACGGUCACUGAAUCCUGCCCAGUGCAGGUAUCUGAACACCCCGUACAAGGGGACGAAGGACCUGUCAACGGCGGGGGUAACUAUGACCCUCUUAAGGUAGCGUAGUACCUUGUCGCUUCAGUAGCGACUUGCAUGAAUGGAUCAACGAGAGCGUCACUGUCCCAACGUUGGGCCCGGUGAACUGUACGUUCCAGUGCGGAGUCUGGAGACCCCCAGGGGGAAGCGAAGACCCUAUGGAGCUUUACUGCAGGCUGUCGCUGAGACAUGGUCGCUGAUGUGCAGCAUAGGUAGGAGGCAUUACAGAGGUACCCGCGCCAGCGGGCCACCCAGCCAUCAAUGAAAUACUACCCGUCAGUGACUGUGACUCUCACUCCGGGAGGAGGACACCGGUAGCCGGGCAGUUUGACUGGGGCGGUACGCGCUCGAAAUGAUAUCGAGCGCGCCCCAAGUCCAUCUCAUUCGGGUCGGGAACCCGAAGAAGAGUGCAAGAGCAAAAGAUGGAUUGACAGUGUUCUUCCUAACGAGGAACGCUGACACGAAAGUGUGGUCUAGCGAACCCAUGAGCCUGCCCGAUGCGGGCCAUGGACGACAGAAAAGCUACCCUAGGGAUAACAGAGUCGUCACGCGCAAGAGCACAUAUCGACCGCGUGGCUUGCUACCUCGAUGUCGGUUCCCUCCAUCCUGCCCGUGCAGAAGCGGGCAAGGGUGAGGUUGUUCGCCUAUUAAAGGAGGUCGUGAGCUGGGUUUAGACCGUCGUGAGACAGGUCGGCUGCUAUCUACUGGGGGUGUUUCGGAGCCUGACGGGAACGUUCGUAUAGUACGAGAGGAACUACGAAUGGUGACCACUGGUGUACCGGUUGUCCGAGAGGGCACUGCCGGGCAGCUACGUCACACGGGGUAAGAGCUGAACGCAUCUAAGCUCGAAACCCACCUGGAAAAGAGGCUCCGCUGAGGUCGCUCGUAGAAGACGAGAUCGAUAGACUUGGGGUGUACGCACCGAGGCAACGAGGUGUUCAGCCCGCGAGUACUAAUGACCGAAGCC
rnacentral:rRNA from 3 species